rnacentral:pre_miRNA from 1 species
UGGCUUCACAGUAUGCAUGUUCUGUCUGGUUUGACUCUUUCAUGCAAACAUGCCAUCAGGACAUGCUCUUUGGUUGAGCACU